CAGCCCUGCCCUCUGUCCCGCUGACCCGCCGUUUUAAUUUCUUGAGCGUCACUACUAGUGCGAUCCCCUUCAAAUGGAUAAUGCUGACUUUCUUCAGUACUUUGUCACUGUGAUGAGAAACUAAUAUAACACCUUUCUCAAAUCUGCAUAAAGAUACAGUAUAGUGAACAUUAUUUGGAAUUAAAUUCCAGACUCAUUAAAAUGAAUGCUUCUCUGGGGGAAUACAGUUUAAAAAGAUAGUAAUUAAAUAAAUCCACGUGAGUAGUUCUGCCCCAUGGAAUCAUGAAAAGAAGCACAACGGGUCAUUUCUGUUUAAUUAUCAGAGUAAGCCACUUGUGGAUUUUUUCCUGAUGCCGUGUAUUGGAUUUCAAAACUGAAUUCAGAAGAUCGGAUACAAAUUUCUAAAAAUUAGUAUGCAUCUGUACCCUUAUGUAGCUUCUUAAAACUCCACACCAAAAAGGUGAAAUAAAACUACUGCUGACUACCUGUUCUUCAGGUUGAAUGACAAAACAGAUGAGCAGCGAACCAGCAAUCAACACCUGAUCCAAUCUGUCAAGACCUGUGACCUUCACCUCGUUUGCCAUGAACUCUGGUGCAAGACAAGAGAGACCUAUGAAGAAAUUCAAUCCAAAGCUCUCUAUCACCAAUCUUCCCAGCUUGAGCGGUUGUGAAAAAUUGUAGUGACCAGAAUAAGCCCUGGGUAGCAACUGGACCUCGAGUGAUGAAGACACAUGGAAUGAAUUUGAGUCUGAGCCCAGGCCUAGAGUCCAGUCAGGCUUUGAUGUCAGAGACAUCUUGUCAAAAGCCAAGAACUAUGACUAAAGUUUGGAAAAAAAA